UUCCAUCCAAGAGAAUGAUAUCGUCAGAACCUUCAGCGUGAUUAAAAUGAUCAACAACGACAGAUUGACGUUCGGCCAGAAACAUAUCCAGUUGUCUUCCAAGCUCCCUUAUUCCUUCGGGAAGUUGAGAGCCUGCAACAACAAACAAGUUACCACCGCUUUGAACAAAUUCUAGAAGAGAUUUAGGGGAGAAAACAGGGC